rnacentral:lncRNA from 1 species
ACUAAGUUAAAGGUAGACAGCCACAGUGCAGCACAGGCUAACAGUGACAGUCCCAUUUAACAUUAAAGCAGGUGAGAAGGUGGAGAAGGUGGAGCAGUACACACACACACACACACACACACACACACACACAGUGUCAGGUAAACAAGCAGACGGCUGCGGCACGGCUCAGACAACAAUCUAUUAAAGGGCCUUUAUCCUCUGCUCUACACACACACACACACACACACACACACACACACACAGAGAGGAAACAAGAGGGUUGUCCAACCAACUCAGCUUCAAGGUCACCUCACGUCUCUGAUUGGCUGGAUGGUGUUGAUGUGUGUCAGCAGGUAGAGGCUCCAGCAUCCUUCAACCCUUUCCAGCAGGGCAGAGCUACAUAUAACAAAUUGGAGGAGCAGUGGGCUUCCACAGUGUAGUGCCCAAGGGGACAGUUGGAGUUAAGGGACUUGCUCAACGUCCCACAGUGAAG